ACUGCAGAUAUAUAUAUCUGUAAAAAAUAUAUGGAAAAAGAUAUAUGGAAAAAAAUGCAGCUUUUUACAUACAUUUUACUAUAGUUCUCCCCUCUGCUUCCAUAUGCCUACAUAUUAGAGCAGAGGGGGUGAAGGCAGGGAAACUGGGUAUGCCGGAUCCCGCCUCCAUUGUGCAAAGCCAGCCAUUUCCAGAUAAGCAAUGCUCCCUAAUAAAACUGGUAUCUCCGGAACCAGACUGCGGACCUGAAAACAGAAUAAUGGGCUUACAUAAUCAUACCUACUGAACGAUAACAAAGCAAGAACAAUAUGUACUCAUGAUAGGAUAUAAAUGAGAGGGGACCGUCCUCGCGCUUGGGAGUGAUCUGCUACGGGCAAAAUAUCUGGAGCCACAAGAGCUUUUUUCUACUAUUCUGCAAGUGGCUGAAUCAAAAGGAACUGCUGUUGAUGUAAUAUCAUGUAAAAGCUUCAUCUAAUAGUGGAGAAGCAAUAGCAAAGGUUCCAGAAGUGGUGUACGAAGGAAUUUUUUUGGGAGCACAUCACUGGAUGGCCAGGAUUUCAGGAGUGUGACAUGAUGAUGAAUGAACACCUCAAUGACUUCAUCAACAAUGCGUCAAUGGAUGAUAUGAAUGGAACCGAAGACAGUCAGUCCUUAACCAAACAAGUCACCU